GGCGGCAGUCGGCCCUCGCCCUGCGUCUCGUUGGUAACAACGCACGACGUCCGCCGAAACGCAGGCUCGCGCCCUCCGUCGCGGUGACAUCACUGGCGCGCCCUAUCUUGGGGCCAAAAGGAACCUGUUGAUGGGUUGAACGUCGUUUCCCUGAAGCCUGCGAUGUAAGGUGCCCCAGGAGUGUGUCACGAUGUUGUCGUUCCCAUGUCUUGGCUAUUGUAAAUAGAGCUGCUAUGAACAUUGGGGUGCAUGUGUCUUUUCAAAUUAUAGUUUUCUCUGAAUAUAUGCCCAGGAGUGGGAUGGCUGGAUCAUGUGAUAUUUAACAUAUAAAUGUUGUAAAGCAUCUCUCCAGGCUCAAUCAAUAGCGACGUGUCUAGCUCCUGAGCAGAGAACGGAAGCUCUCCGCCGCAUCAUCUACAAGAUCCCCUCCUCUAUGGAGACAAGUCACAAGCGCUUUGACCUAAGAUUCCACAAGUACAACCAUCACCGUCGGGGAGGGGAAGAUAGAGGAUCAAAUGAUCUUUAAAGUCUUUUCUAAUUACAAAAUGAUAACUUCAAUUUGAGGCUAAUGUUUGGAACAAUGCUAACUUAUUGCUAUUUUUUGGAAAGUUAUAACUGUAAAAAUAUUAAAACACUAUUGCUAUACAUUGAAUGUUUGUGUACCCCCUGAAAAAAUUCACAUAUUGAAGUCUAGUCCCCAGUGUGAUGGUACUUGGAGGUAGGAACUUUGGGAGAUACUUAGGUUAUGAGGCAGAGCCCUCAUGGCUGGGAUUACGAGAGACCCCACAGAGCUAACUAGCCCCUCUGACCACGUGAGGACAGUGAAAACACAACUGUCCGUGCACCAGGGGGCGGGCCCUCCCCAGACACAGAAUCCGUCAGCAUUUUAAUCUUGAGUUUCCCAGCCUCUAGAACUGUGAGGAAUAAAUUUCUACUUUUUAUAAGCCACCUGGUCUCUGGUAUUCUGUUACAGCAGCCUGAGCAAACUAAGACAAAUAUUAACAAAAUUAAAACAAAAAAGAAAUGUCACUACAAUUCUGCUAUUCCAAUGGAUCAAACUGUUUUUAGGUUUCCACACUCCUCUACGUUCUUGUCCACAUGUACACAGUUUUCACUGUAAUUAGGGCUAAGACAUAAUUAUUUGUUAGAUGUAACACUAAAAUAACGCGUAUAUGCAAUGUUCCUGUCUCUGUACUGAUUUUUAGUGGCUGUAUUUUAUGAAAGUAAUAAACAAUAAUUAUCCUAUAUUCCUAUGUCCUUGGGGUAUUUAGUUUGUUUCUAUUUCUUUGAUUGUACAAAUAACAUUACCAUGAACAUCCUCAUGAUCUAUGCCUUUUGCCAUCUCUUGAAUUAUUUUAAGAUAAGUUCCCAGAAAAGGGAUUAUUAGGCCAAAGGGCAUGAUUUUAUAGCUUGUGAUUCAUCCUGCCAAACUGCUUUUGCAAGGCUGACUAGUUCACUCUGACAUGAGCAUUGCAAUUUGCAUCUAAGUCUCAUAACAAUCUGCUUACCCUUUUUCUUAAAAAAAAAAAAUGUGUUUAAUAUAUGUGUGAAGUUUUACUUGACUCACUUGGCAUUUCUUUGACUGGUAAUGGGUUGAACAUCUUUCAAAUAUUUACACCCUGGCUGCAGCUUUGCCUUCAUGAACUGGCUCUUUGAGAUUGUGGUCUCAAUG